rnacentral:misc_RNA from 1 species
GAAACGCGAUAUUUAAUGCGAAUUGCAGAAUUCAGUGAAUCAUCAAAACUUCGAACGCAGUUUGCAAUCUUGGGUUAAACCUUUGAUUGUGCCUCCUUGACAUUCACCCAACACAAAUUAUAUGUUCACACAUUAUAGAUUUGCAGCACAUAAGGAUCAGGCAACUUUUAUUUGCCCCUUGUUAGAAUUCGUCUUCAACUUCGAAUAAAAGACUUUUCUUUAGAACUAAAUCUACAAUCUAAAUUAUCUUGAGUUGAAAUCAGAAGAGACCAAAAGUCUGUAUGAUUACCUCCAGUUGAUUCAGGUUAAACUGAGAUUAGUUUUAAAGUUAUAUCUAAUGAAGUAAGACAUAUUGUCUAUGCAAAUUGCCAUUGUGGUGUCAAGUGAGGCACGGUUACCC